GAUGAACGCUGGCGGCGUGCUUAACACAUGCAAGUCGAACGAUGAAGCCCAGCUUGCUGGGUGGAUUAGUGGCGAACGGGUGAGUAACACGUGAGUAACCUGCCCUUAACUCUGGGAUAAGCCUGGGAAACUGGGUCUAAUACCGGAUAGGAGCGUCCACCGCAUGGUGGGUGUUGGAAAGAUUUAUCGGUUUUGGAUGGACUCGCGGCCUAUCAGCUUGUUGGUGAGGUAAUGGCUCACCAAGGCGACGACGGGUAGCCGGCCUGAGAGGGUGACCGGCACACUGGGACUGAGACACGGCCCAGACUCCUACGGGAGGCAGCAGUGGGGAAUAUUGCACAAUGGGCGCAAGCCUGAUGCAGCGACGCCGCGUGAGGGAUGACGGCCUUCGGGUUGUAAACCUCUUUCAGUAGGGAAGAAGCGAAAGUGACGGUACCUGCAGAAGAAGCACCGGCUAACUACGUG
rnacentral:rRNA from 1 species